rnacentral:rRNA from 1 species
AGUGAACGCCGGCGGCGUGCUUAACACAUGCAAGUCGAACGGAUGAAAUAAGCUUGCUUAUUUCGUUAGUGGCGCACGGGUGAGUAAUGUAUAGCUACCCUGCCCUUUAGUGGGGGACAACAGUUGGAAACGACUGCUACUACCCCAUACUCCUUCUUAUCAUCAGGUAAGUCGGGAAAGAUUUAUUGCUAAAGGAUGGGGCUUUAUUGUAUCAGCUUGUUGGUGGGGUAAGGGCCUACCAAGGCGAUGACGCAUACCUGGUCUGAGAGGAUGAUCAGGCACACUGGAACUGAGACACGGUCCAGACUCCUACGGGAGGCAGCAGUGGGGAAUAUUGCACAAUGGGGGAAACCCUGAUGCAGCAACGCCGCGUGGAGGAUGACGCAUUUCGGUGUGUAAACUCCUUUUAUAAGGGAAGAUAAUGACGGUACCUUAUGAAUAAGCACCGGCUAACUCCGUGCCAGCAGCCGCUGUAA